GUCUACGGCCUCGCCCCCCUGAACGAGCCCGGUGUCUGAUCUCGGAAGCUAAGCAGGGUCGGGCCUGGUGAGUACUUAGAUGGGAGACCGACUGCCUAGGAAGACCAGGUGCUGCAGGCA
rnacentral:rRNA from 1 species